GAUGAACGCUGGCGGCGUGCCUAAUACAUGCAAGUCGAGCGAACAGACGAGGAGCUUGCUCCUCUGACGUUAGCGGCGGACGGGUGAGUAACACGUGGAUAACCUACCUAUAAGACUGGGAUAACUUCGGGAAACCGGAGCUAAUACCGGAUAAUAUAUUGAACCGUAUGGUUCAAUAGUGAAAGACGGUUUUGCUGUCACUUAUAGAUGGAUCCGCGCCGCAUUAGCUAGUUGGUAAGGUAACGGCUUACCAAGGCAACGAUGCGUAGCCGACCUGAGAGGGGGAUCGGCCACACUGGAACUGGGACACGGUCCAGACUCCUACGGGAGGCAGCAGUAGGGAAUCUUCCGCAAUGGGCGAAAGCCUGACGGAGCAACGCCGCGUGAGUGAUGAAGGUCUUCGGAUCGUAAAACUCUGUUAUUAGGGAAGAACAAAUGUGUAAGUAACUAUGCACGUCUUGACGGUACCUAAUCAGAAAGCCACGGCUAACUACGUG
rnacentral:rRNA from 1 species